CAAUAGCGUAUAUUAAAGUUGUUGCAGUUAAAAAGCUCGUAGUUGGACUUCAGAGUGAGCUCAUACGGUCGGCCUAAUGGGUCAGAACUGGGUGACUUUCUCUUGCUUGUGGAUCCCGUCCGGAGUUAACUCUUCGGAUGUGGACUCCACAUCGUUUACCUUGAAAAAUUAGAGUGUUCAAAGCGGGCGUUUGCUUGAAUAUAUUAGCAUGGAAUAAUGGAAUAGGACCCUGGUUCUAUUUUGUUGGUUUUGAGAACCAGAGUAAUGAUUAAUAGGGAUAGUUGGGGGCAUUCAUAUUUCAUUGUCAGAGGUGAAAUUCUUGGAUUUAUGAAAGAUGAACUUCUGCGAAAGCAUUUGCCAAGGAUGUUUUCAUUAAUCAAGAACGAAAGUUAGGGGAUCGAAGACGAUCAGAUACCAU
rnacentral:rRNA from 1 species